rnacentral:rRNA from 1 species
CCUACGGGAGGCAGCAGUGAGGAAUAUUGGUCAAUGGGCUUACGCCUGAACCAGCCAAGUCGCGUGAGGGAAGACUGCCCUCUGGGUUGUAAACCUCUUUUGUCAGGGAGCAACGCCGGCUACGUGUAGCCGGACUGAGAGUACCUGAAGAAAAAGCAUCGGCUAACUCCGUGCCAGCAGCCGCGGUAAUACGGAGGAUGCGAGCGUUAUCCGGAUUGAUUGGGUUUAAAGGGUGCGUAGGCGGAAUGCCAAGUCAGCGGUAAAAUCGCGGGGCUCAACCUCGCUCCGCCGUUGAAACUGGCGUUCUUGAGUGGGCGAGAGGUAUGCGGAAUGCGUGGUGUAGCGGUGAAAUGCAUAGAGAUCACGCAGAAUUCCGAUGGCGAAGGCAGCAUACCGGCGCCCGACUGACGCUGAAGCACGAAAGCGUGGGGAUCGAACAGGAUUAGAUACCCGGGUAGUC